rnacentral:lncRNA from 1 species
CGCGGUUUGGCCGGUUCAGAUCCUGGGUGCGGACUUAGCGCCGCUCAUCAAGCCAUGUUGAAGUGGUGUCCCACACAGUAGAAGUGGAAGGACCUACAUCUGCAAUAUACAACUAUGUACUGGGGGGUUUUGAGAAGAAGAAGAAGAAGAAAAAAAAGAAAGAUAAAAUGAUCACUGUGUCAAAAGCUUUCCCUAUUUCAAGAUGAGGACUGAGAAUUGGCCGUAUUUCAGUGGAACAGUGAGGACAAAAGCCUGGUGGGAACGGAUUAAAGAGAGAUGGGAAGAGGGGAAAUCGAGACAGCUAGUGAGCACAGGCGAUUCUUUUGGGGAAUUUUUCUCUAAAAGGGAGCAAAGAAAUGAGGUGGCAGCUGGAAAGGAAUGUGAGGUCUAAGGAGGUUCUUUGUUUUGUUUUUUAAAUUGACAAUUUUUUAGAGACUUUUAGUUCACAGCAAAUGAAUCAGAAGGCACAGAGAUUUCCCAUAUACCUCCUGAGCACACACACACAUAUAUAGCUCCCGCACCAGAGUAGCACAUUUGUUACAAUCAAUGAAACUAGAUUGACAUAUCAUUAUCACCCAAAGUCCAAGUUUACAUUAUGAUUCACUCUUGGUGGUGUACAUUCUAUGGGUUUUGACAAAUGUAUAAUGACAGGUAUCCACAAUUAUAGUAUCAUACAGAGUAAUUUCACUGCCUUAAAAAUCCUCUGUGCUGUGCCUAUUCAUAUCCCCACCCCCACCCCACCCCCACAACAACUGAUCUUUUAAUUAUCUCCAUACUUUUGCCUUUUCUAGAAUGUCAUACAGUUGGAAUGAUACAGUAUGUAACCUUUUCAGACUGACUUCUGUCACUAGUAACAUACAUUUAAGGUUCCUCUAUGUCUUUUCAUGGCUUGAUAACUCAUUUCUUUUUAGCACUGAAUAAUAUUCCAUUGACUGGAUGUACCACAGUUUAUUUAAGGACAUCUUUAUUACUUCCACAUUUUGGCAAUUAUGAGUAAAGCUGCUAUAAGCAUCUUCAUGUACAAUUUUUUGUGUGGACAUAACUUUUCAACUCAUUUCAGUAAGUACCAAGAAGUGCAAUUGCUGAAUCUUAUAUGUUUAAGUUUAUAAGAAAUUGCCAAACUAUCUUCCAAAGUGACUGUACCAUUUUGCAUUCCCACCAGCAAUGAUAGUUCCUAUUGCUGCAUCCUCACCAGCAUUCAGUGUUAGUGUUUUGGAUUUUUGCCAGUCUAUUGAGUGUGUAGUGGUAUCUCAUUGUUAUUUUAAUUUCCAAUUCCCUAAUGACACAUACUGUCAAAUAUCUUUUCAUAUGCUUAUUUUCCAUCUACAUAUUUUCUUUGAUAGAGUGUCUGUUCAGGUCUUCAGCUCAUUUUUUAAUGCUGUUGUUCAUUUUCUUAUUGUUGAGUUUUAAGAGUUCUUUGUAUGUUUUGUAAAAUGGUCCUGUAUCAGAUAUGUCUUCUGCAAAUAUUUUCUCCCACUCUGAGGCAUGUCUUCUCAUUCUCUUGACAUUGUCUUUCACAGAGCAGAAGUCCUUAGUUUUAAUGAAAUCCACUUUAUCAGUUCUUUCUUUCAUGGAUUUGAUGUUGUAUCUAAAAAGUCAUCACCAUACCAAGUUCAUCUAGAUUUUCCCCUAUGUUAUCUUCUAGGAGUUUUAUAAUUUUGCAUUUUACAUUUUGGUCUAUGAUCCAUUUUGAGUUAAUUUUUGUGAAGUAUAUAAUUAUCCUUUAAAUGUCCAUGGGAUCUGUAGUGAUGUCCUCUCUUUCAUUUCUCUUUCUUCUCCUUCAGGUAUUCCUAAUACGUGUAUGUUAUAUGUUUUAUAGUUGUCCCACCUUUCUUAGAUAUUCUGUUCUGGAUUUGUUUGGGUUUUUU